rnacentral:rRNA from 2 species
CUUUAAUUGUGAUGGAGUGACGGAGAAGGAUAAGCAUACCUAUUAUUGGAUUUAGGGGUAAGUAGUUACUGGUGAUUGUAGGCAAAUCCGCAAUCUAUAACCGGGAGCUAUGAUGCAUAGGACAAUUGUCUGAAUUUGCCAAUUCCAUGCUUCCUAGAAAAGCUUCUAAACUUAAUGUUAUUGAAACCUGUACCGAGAACGGACACACGUCCCCAAGAUGAGUAUUCUAUGGCGAGCGAGAAAACUAGUGUUAAGGAACUCUGCAAAAUGACCCCGUAAGUUCGCAAGAAGGGGCGCCUAUGGUAACACAUAGGCCACAGUAAAUUAUGAGGGGCAACUGUUUAUCAAAAACACAACUCUCUGCUAAACCGCAAGGUGAUGUAUAGGGGGUGAAGCCUGCCCAGUGCCCGAAGGUUAAGUGGAUGCGUUAG